rnacentral:lncRNA from 1 species
AUUCCUGGUCCUGUCAGCCCUGUCCUAGCUGAGUCCUCCCCCAAAUGCCCUCAAGGAUACCUCCAUGUCUCCAGCCUAGUUUAUGGAAGGGUCUUCUGAUUAAAUGGUCAAUCAAUCCCCUGAGACCACAGUGACCAUAUCAAGAACAACCAUCUCUAACACAUUAGAUUGUGCUAAAAAGAACCAACGGUUUGCCAGUUGUUUGUGAGAAGCAAAGGAGAGAGCAGACCCAAGAGGUGAAAGGAAAGUUUCUUCCUGUUCACAUCACUUAGGUCCAGAAGAAUUUUCUUCUCCAGCCUGGUCUCUGAUGCGACAUCUCUCUCCCAAGACCUUAAGACAAUUUUGUUUCCCUGAAGUUAAGUCACUUAUUACAAAGUCCCCUAUGGGACAAAAAGACAAGGGAUGGGAUGGCAGGACGUGGGUGGAGAGGCCUUAGGUAGUUCUGGGAGCAGGAUGGGCUCUGUUCUCAUUGAGAAGCUUAUAUCUGUAUCCAGUCAGACAGAAGGGUCAGGAGCUCCAAUCUAGCCAGAACACCAGGUGGAAAGAAAGAAUAUGAGGGAUAUUUAUUGGGAAGAAUGGGCACAGAGGAGACCCCCAAGAUAUGUCACUGUGCAAGCCAUACUAGUCAUUUACAUUUGUCAGAAACAGGGGAGGACUGCGUCCCAAUAUCAGCUAGUCCCUCCCAUUUUAAGCCCCAAAGAGGUGCUGCUACGUCUGGACCACUGAGAUGAUCCAUUUCAAGUCAGAGUCCCAUUCCAUGAGGACUGUCAGUUGCACCCACUGGGGACCCUGACCAGGCACCAGAAAACAUGGCUGUGUGAGGCUGUAUGGCCCCUCAGCUCUUGCCGCCUCUGCUGUCACAGGCCCUCAUCAAGGCAAGAAGUGUCACUCACUUAUCACAGCACAUAGCCCAUAGCAUGGGCUUGAUAAAUGGUGAAUUAAACAGAAUACCAGAGAUCACCUAACCUCAGCAAAUGCACAGGAUGUGAAAAAUUAAGAUGCUUCCAUAGAAAAAGACUCCUCCAUCUUUUCUCUUAGUAUAUAGGUCAGAAUCCUUCAUAAAAUCAGAGCAAGGAGAAGUAGGAGUAUAUCUAGGGGCAGGAAAAGAACAAGAAUGGAGUUCUUUGGAGAGUGGCCCCUUGCUAGCUCACUAAAAGGUGCCCCUAAGCCCAGAGCAGCUGGAGGGGCACUGGUAAGCCCACCUGCUCCAUCCUCAGGUCCUGAGUCACGAUGCUGCCCAGGAAGGAGGACGUCCUAAUCUGUUAAUCGCCCUAGUCUUGUGCUACUCUGCAGCUCCUUUCAGCAGAUUUGAUGCAGAGAUCCAUCAAGAUGAAGCUCAACCCCCAACAGCCGAAGGAAAAGAGGGCAAUAGAGGUGAGAAGAGCCAAAAUGCAGGCAGUGUGUAUUAAUCCCAGGUGACAAAAACAUGCCGACUUUAACAUCUGUUUGCUUUUAUCUUGAAAUGAAAAUGCAUCUCAGCUAUCCAGACCUUUUUUUCUGAGCAUUUCAGAACAUAAAUGGGACAUACACACACACACACACACACACACACACACACACACACACACACACACACACACACACUCAUGGUAAGGGUUCUUUUCCCCAGCAGAAAGAGCUACCAAAGAAAAGAGCCCAUAGGUUUUCUCUAUUUGCAGAAUCAGGGAAUCAACUGCAGGUCUCAGCUACUAGAGUCCAGCCUCUUUGAAAAAGGGAGGGGAAGGGCCAGGAGACAGCUGCCUUAGGAAGGGUUCACUGGGGCCUCUGUGAGAAAGGGUUCUGGUUGGGCCUGUGGGUCACAGAUAGGAAUGUAAUGUGCACACCCCUGCAGACAAAAGUCCAUCCAUCCUGCGCAAUGUGGAAUAUACCCCUUAGCUCCUCCCUUGUCUGCAAAGGAGCCAUCAAUGUGCAGGAUUCAGAAGAUGGCAUGCACAUCUUUGCUUGUAAACUUCAAGUGGUGGAAAUAAGGCAAAAGCCUUUUGGAGAUUAGGAAGUUAGACUUGAUAUCCAGGGCUGAUCACUCAAAAGGCAAAAAAAGAGAUUGACGGGAAAGCUGACUCAGAGUUAGAGAGGGAACAGGUGAGGCUAGAGAAGAGUGACGGAACAGGAACACCCUCACCUGGGAAGCCAGAGCAUUGCUCUAUACUGAAAGCUGUAUCCAAGUUUCAGCAAACUAUGGGGAAGCCUGGCCAUGUGACCCUGAGGCAAUCAAAUCAAUGCCUCCAAAGUCAGACCUAUUCGAAGGUGAUUUCAUUCUUAAUUGAACUAGUCACAAUGGAUCAAUCCACCUGAUUGCUUCCAGCCUGACCUCGGUGGCUUCCAAAAAAAAGUUGUUGAUGCCCUGAGCUGGACAGCAGAGAAGGAAAUUGAAGAAAACCAGCCAGUGAAUUUAGAAAAGAAACUGCAUGUAGAAGUUGGUUGUUUUCAAAGAUAUCCAUAGGUAUUAGAGUUAGGUGUGUUAUGUUAUCGGCAUGGACAUUAUAAUGUCAGAAAGGUAAGAUUCAGAAUGACUUGGUGGGACAUUCACUUGGAAAAUUAGUUAAUGUGUUAAAUAUAAGCUAUCAGGGAAAAGUAGGCUAAGGGCAGCAAUUAUGUGCGUCAUAUGCAUAAAAUACAGAAAUAAGUAAGAUAUAAAGAUGUCAAUGGUCCCAACACAUUUUCAGUUCCUUAGAAGCACAGGUUUGGGGAUCCCUGUUACACUUUUUCUUACUGUUCUCAUUUACUUUUAGCUCUCAGAGCACUGGGAACAGUGCCUGGCACAUAGUAGGAGUUUAGUAAGCAUUGGAAAAUGGAAGGUCCAACUUGUCGCUACAUGGGACUCAGUACUCACUAUACACCCAAUUAAGUGAGCCACAGGGAAGCAAGUCAGCCACAUCCCCCUCCUAGAUCAUUACACCUCGGCUGAGGAGAAGCUUGCAUGAAUUCAAAGAUUCAGAACAAUGUCCAGCUGGCUGCAGGCACUGGGUCUGGCUCUUGCCGGGAUGCUGUACAGAGUGGGCCUAUAUCACUUAGGACGCUGCACAUAGUGGGUCUGUAUCACUUAGACCUCAUCUGCAUAACACCUAACAAGCUAUUUCUACAGGGAACAGGACUGAGGGCUCCCCUCCUAUUGCUUCUGCCAUUUCCUAAACACUUGUGCAAUGCUGUGGAGUUGUGCCAACUUCGGGUACAAUUCUAGAACUAAAUAUAAUGAUUCUGGGCUCAGCCAGUCUCAGAGGUCUAAUGAUUCUUCUCUCAGCUCUUCCCAUCACCCAUAUCUGGAGAUGCCACCUCAACAGGUGGGCCCGUGUAUGUAUACCUGAUACAUGUCCACCUCUGAGCUCUUUCAGCUGCCUCAAAAAACUGACUCCUUUUAGUCUAGAAAAUGUGUUUAUUUGCUAAAUAUACUAGUGUGUAUGAUGUGAAACAAUGCAAACUUUGGACUAUCUUGUUAGACUGUAUGCAUUUAUAGAAUUUAAUUUCAGGAGAGCACUUUAUCAUCUUGCUCAAUGAAUGAGGUUGCCCAAUCACAGAUGACCAGAGAAAAUGCCCCUUCUCCUCCCUACACCUAUGAGCCCCUCCCCUGAUCUAGUCCCUGCCUAAUUGAGCUGUCCUGUCCACUUCAGGCUGAUGCAGAGUGAAGGGCGCUGAGAAUCUCCAUGUAUAUAAAGAUAUAGGAAGAAAAUAAGAACCACCACAGGAAUCUGUUGGGCUUCUUCCCAUGACUGUGAUUUUAUCCAUAUUUGAGUCACAAACUUUACAUUUCUAACAAUUAAGAUUCUUGCAGUUUCCAAGUAAUUUGUUAAAUGCCUAUUCGACACAGACAGAUAUUUAUUUUCAGCCUUGACUUGUAAAUGCCUACAAACUGAUUCAUGCUGGUGGUCGUUACGACACUUUCUGUGAAUUGGUGAAUAAAUAUGAUUUUAGAAUUUCACAGUAAA